CAUUAGUGAACGCCCUCACGGGCUUAUAACUAUUCCAAACCUCUGUGAACCGUGCCCUUCGGGGCUAUUUUACAAACAUGGUGUAAUGAACGUCAUAUAUCAUAACAAAACAAAACUUUCAACAACGGAUCUCUUGGCUCUCGCAUCGAUGAAGAACGCAGCGAAAUGCGAUAAGUAAUGUGAAUUGCAGAAUUCAGUGAAUCAUCGAAUCUUUGAACGCACCUUGCGCCCUCUGGUAUUUCGGAGGGCAUGCCUGUUUGAGUGUCAUGUAGACUCAAUCCCUCGGGUUUCCGAGGAGAUUGGACUUGGGUGUUGCCGCUCUGCCGGCUCGCCUUAAAAGACUUAGCGGGAUAGCACCGUAGUCGGCGUAAUAAGUUUCGUCGGUGAAGGUUGUGAUGACUGCUUACAAUCGCCCUCGGGCAAUUUUUGACUCUGACCUCAAAUCAGGUAGGACUACCC
rnacentral:rRNA from 1 species